rnacentral:rRNA from 1 species
AUUGAACGCCGGCGGCAUGCUUUACACAUGCAAGUCGGACGGCAGCGGGGGUGCUUGCACCUGCCGGCGAGUGGCGAACGGGUGAGUAACAUAUUGGAAUGUACCGAGUAGUGGGGGAUAACCAAUCGAAAGAUUGGCUAAUACCGCAUACGUCCUGAGGGGGAAAGCAGGGGAUCUUCGGACCUUGCGCUAUUUGAGCAGCCAAUAUCUGAUUAGCUAGUUGGUGGGGUAAAGGCCCACCAAGGCGACGAUCAGUAGCGGGUCUGAGAGGAUGAUCCGCCACACUGGGACUGAGACACGGCCCAGACUCCUACGGGAGGCAGCAGUGGGGAAUUUUGGACAAUGGGGGCAACCCUGAUCCAGCCAUGCCGCGUGUCUGAAGAAGGCCUUCGGGUUGUAAAGGACUUUUGUUAGGGAAGAAAAGGGAAGUGCUAAUACCACUUUUUGCUGACGGUACCUAAAGAAUAAGCACCGGCUAACUACGUGCCAGCAGCCGCGGUAAUACGUAGGGUGCGAGCGUUAAUCGGAAUUACUGGGCGUAAAGCGAGCGCAGACGGUUACUUAAGCUGGAUGUGAAAUCCCCGGGCUCAACCUGGGAACUGCGUUCUGAACUGGGUAGCUAGAGUAUGUCAGAGGGGGGUAGAAUUCCACGUGUAGCAGUGAAAUGCGUAGAGAUGUGGAGGAAUACCGAUGGCGAAGGCAGCCCCCUGGGAUAAUACUGACGUUCAUGCUCGAAAGCGUGGGUAGCAAACAGG